GACGAACGCUGGCGGCGUGCCUAACACAUGCAAGUCGAGCGAAGUAUUUGGAGCUGAAUCCUUCGGGAAGAAGUUUCAAAUAUCUUAGCGGCGGACGGGUGAGUAACGCGUGAGGAACCUGCCUUCCACAAGGGGAUAGCCUCGGGAAACUGGGAUUAAUACCCUAUGACACUUAUUUACUACAUGGUAGAUAAGUUAAAGCGAAUUAGCGGUGGAAGAUGGCCUCGCGUCCCAUUAGCUAGUUGGUGAGGUAACGGCUCACCAAGGCGACGAUGGGUAGCCGGCCUGAGAGGGUGAACGGCCACACUGGAACUGAGACACGGUCCAGACUCCUACGGGAGGCAGCAGUGGGGAAUAUUGCACAAUGGGCGAAAGCCUGAUGCAGCGACGCCGCGUGAGUGAAGAAGGCCUUCGGUCGGUAAACUACUAGUCCUAAGGGACGAGUAAUAGACGGUACCGUUAACGGAGGAAGGACCCGGACCGUAACCUAACGUACGCACGCAGCCGCGUAAACGGUAACUACUAUA
rnacentral:rRNA from 1 species